GAGUUUGAUCUUGGCUCAGGACUAACGCUGGCGGCGUGCCUAACACAUGCAAGUCGAACGAAGCAGCAAUGCUUAGUGGCAGACGGGUGAGUAACGCGUAGAUAAUGUGCCCUCUUGCGGGGGAUACCGUUUCGAAAGGAACGUUAAUACCGCAUAACACCUUCGGUGGGCGAUCCACUGAAGGUCAAAUUCCUGGAGCGAGAGGAGCAGUCUGCGUACUAUCAGCUAGUUGGUGAGGUAAUGGCUCACCAAGGCUACGACGGUUAACUGGUCUGAGAGGAUGAUCAGUCACACUGGAACUGAGACACGGUCCAGACUCCUACGGGAGGCAGCAGUGAGGAAUAUUGCGCAAUGGGCGAAAGCCUGACGCAGCGACGCCGCGUGGACGAUGAAGGCCUCGGUUGU
rnacentral:rRNA from 1 species